CUCUACUUCCGGCGCGUCUGCAUAUCGAAUACGCACGCCGCACGGCUUCGGUUACACAAUCCUGGACUCGUACCCGCCGAUGUAGUCCUCACUCUAGGAGCAUCGGAUCCUGAUAACUCAGGGGAUAGAAAGAGCGAUGUGUUUGCUAUCGAUCCGCACGACGCUAAAAUCGCCCCGAUGUCUACCGGUAUAUUUACCGUGUCAUUCGCACCUACAGGUUUAGGGAAUUACGCAGCGAAUCUACGCGUGACUCUUGCGCUUCCUCCACCAUUGGAUU
rnacentral:misc_RNA from 1 species